GCAAGAUACUCACUGAGAGCCUGCUGCGUUGCCCCGCUGAGCAAUGGAACCCUGACCCACCGCAACACGACGACAUGGAGACAGAAGCCACGGGAUCGGAGUCAACUGUAGCUGUUGUGACGGCUGUAGCCACAGUGCUAUCUGUGGCUGUGAAAACUGUCAGUGCGGAGGUGAUAGAAGACAUUUUGGAGUCGGCUAUCAUUCUACAUGCCCUGUUGCCACUUUUCACCGAUGCUCACCCUAACCUAAGAAACACGGUCAUAAACCUGUGCGAGUCUUGGUGG